AUGCGAUAAGUAAUGUGAAUUGCAGAAUUCAGUGAAUCAUCGAAUCUUUGAACGCACCUUGCGCUCCUUGGUAUUCCGAGGAGCAUGCCUGUUUGAGUGUCAUUAAAUUCUCAACCUUUUAUUAGCCUUUUGGUUAAUAAAUGGCUUGGAUGUGGGAGUUUGCCGGUUUCUCUUAUGAAAUCAGCUCUCCUCAAAUGCAUUAGCUGGUUGCCUUGUGUAAACUAGUCUAUUGGUGUGAUAAUUAUCUACGCUGUGGACUGUUUGCCGCCUUUAGCACUGCUUCUAAUCGUCUAUUGACUUGGACAAUUUAUGACAAUUUGACCUCAAAUCAGGUAGGACUACCCGCUGAACUUAA
rnacentral:misc_RNA from 1 species